GUCAUUUUAAGGCAUUUUUGUGGUUUUUUUUGGUGGUUUUGGGUCAUUUUUUUGUGUUUUUGGGUCAUUUUUCUGUGUUUUUCGGUCAUUUUUUUGUGUUUUUGGGGUAUUUUGGGGCGGUUUUGGGUCAUUUUAAGGCAUUUUUGGGGCAUUUUUUGGUGGUUUUGGGUCAUUUUUCUCUAUUUUGGGGCAUUUUUUGUGUUUUUGGUGCAUUUUGGGGCAUUUUUGGGUCUUUUUUUUUGUGUUUUUGGGUCAUUUUAAGGCAUUUUUGGGUCAUUUUCCUGUGGUUUUGGGUCAUUUUUUGUGGUUUUGGGUCUUUUUUCGUGGUUUUGGGUCAUUUUAAGGCAUUUUUGGAGUAUUUUUGGGUGGUUUUGGGUCUUUUUUUGUGGUUUUGGGUCUUUUUUUUUGUUUUUAGGGCAUUUUAAGGCAUUUUUGGGUCAAUUUUUUGUGGUUUUGGGUCAUUUUAAGGCAUUUUUGGGGCUUUUUUUGGUGGUUUUGGGUCAUUUUUUGUGGUUUUGGGUCAUGUUUUUGUAUUUUUGGGUCAUUUUUUUGGGUUUUUGGGUCAUUUUUCUCUGUUUUUGGGGAAUUUUUUGUGUUUUUGGUAUAUUUUGGAGCAUUUUUGGGUCAUUUUUUUGUGUUUUUGGGUCAUUUUAAGGCAUUUUUGGGGCUUUUUUUUGCAUUUUUGGGUCAUUUUUUGGUGUUCUUGGGGUAUUUUGGGUCAUUUUUAUCUGUUUUUGGGGUAUUUUUUGGUGUUUUUGGGGUAUUUUGGGGUGGUUUUGGGUCAUUUGAAGGCAUUUUUGGGGCAUUUUUUGGUGUUUUUGGGGUAUUUUGGGUCAUUUUUGGGUCAUUUUUCUCUGUUUUUGGGGUAUUUUUUGGUGUUUUUGGGGUAUUUUGUGGGGUUUUUGGGGUGUUUCAGAAUCCCAGGGGGGUUGGCACCACCACCCC